rnacentral:rRNA from 1 species
UCCACGCUGUAAACGAUGUCGAUUUGGAGUUUGUUGCCUAGAGUGAUGGGCUCCGAAGCUAACGCGAUAAAUCGACCGCUGGGGAGUACGGCCGCAAGGUUAAAACUCAAAUGAAUUGACGGGGGCCCGCACAAGCGGUGGAGCAUGUGGUUUAAUUCGAUGCAACGCGAAGAACCUUACCUGGUCUUGACAUCCAUAGAAUUCUGCAGAGAUGUGGGAGUGCCUUCGGGAACUAUGAGACAGGUGCUGCAUGGCUGUCGUCAGCUCGUGUUGUGAAAUGUUGGGUUAAGUCCCGCAACGAGCGCAACCCUUAUUCUUUGUUGCCAGCGAUUUGGUCGGGAACUCAAAGGAGACUGCCGUUGAUAAAGCGGAGGAAGGUGGGGACGACGUCAAGUCAUCAUGGCCCUUACGACCAGGGCUACACACGUGCUACAAUGGCGUAUACAAAGGGAAGCGAAGGUGCGAGCUGGAGCGGAUCUCAUAAAGUACGUCUAAGUUCGGAUUGGAGUCUGCAACUCGACUCCAUGAAGUCGGAAUCGCUAGUAAUCGUAGAUCAGAAUGCUACGGUGAAUACGUUCCCGGGCCUUGUACACACCGCCCGUCACACCAUGGGAGCGGGUUGCACCAGAAGUAGAUAGCUUAACUGCGAGGGGGGCGUUUACCACGGUGUGAUUCAUGACUGGGGUGAAGUCGUAACAAGGUAACCA